UAACAAGGUCUCCGUUGGUGAACCAGCGGAGGGAUCAUUAUCGAGUUUACAACUCCCAAACCCUUAUGUGAACAUACCUACUGUUGCUUCGGCGGACUCGCCCCGGCGCCCGGACGGCCUCGCGCCGCCCGCGGCCCGGACCCAGGCGGCCGCCGGAGACCCCCAAACUCUGUAUUAUCAGCAUUUUCUGAAUCCGCCGCAAGGCAAAACAAAUGAAUCAAAACUUUCAACAACGGAUCUCUUGGUUCUGGCAUCGAUGAAGAACGCAGCGAAAUGCGAUAAGUAAUGUGAAUUGCAGAAUUCAGUGAAUCAUCGAAUCUUUGAACGCACAUUGCGCCCGCCAGCAUUCUGGCGGGCAUGCCUGUUCGAGCGUCAUUUCAACCCUCGACUUCCCUUUGGGGAAAUCGGCGUUGGGGAACGGCAGCAUACCGCCGGCCCCGAAAUGAAGUGGCGGCCCGUCCGCGGCGACCUCUGCGUAGUAAUCCAACUCGCACCGGAACCCCGACGUGGCCACGCCGUAAAACACCCAACUUCUGAACGUUGACCUCGGAUCAGGUAGGAAUACCCGCUGAACUUAAGCAUA
rnacentral:misc_RNA from 1 species